rnacentral:lncRNA from 1 species
UGCUAUUAAGAUGGCGGUGGCGGGAGGCAACGGGGCCCUAAAAUAGUCUGGCAUAAGUGGAUUAGAGUGACUGAGAGACUAGAAGGCGUUACCUUUGGCUGGCUAGAGUGAGGCAAAGGUGCCAGAAAAGUGACUUGGAUAGCCAGGCCAAGCAUGGAUUGGCUGUGAUUCCAGUAAGAUCAGAAAGUGGAAAAUCCAUAAAAAUGAAAGUGGACCGAACUAAACUGAAGAAAACGCCUACUGAGGCUGUAAGUAUUACCUCUUGUCACCUUGAGUUCUCUGUAGGAAUACUAGGAGACUUGAAUUUCCAUAGUGUUGUGUAACAGAGUGGAGGAGAUUCAGUACUGAACAGUCUUGUCACUCAUUUCUGAAUAUAUUUUUGGUUCCAUGGCACUUUACUGAUUUCAAGCUCCUUAGCAGGAAACUCAACAUAAAUGGAAGACCAGUGAAUACAGGGUUGACGGAAAAGGCUGAUUUCCACAAGGAGGGAUAAACUUGCCUUUAAUUGAACUUGUAAUUACAAAAAUUGAUUUCUAGCAUUGUUAAUUACUUUUAACAAAGAGGAAAUCUGAA